UCAUGUUGGUGAACAGGCAUUUGCAGAAAGUCCUCUUCACAGCAGAUGAAGCUCACUGUGCAUCCCAUCCGAGCAAACCCAGAGCGCACACGUCCAAACCCAUUCAAAACUUCACGCCUCUGCUGCAGAUGAACGGGGCGUGGUUAUCGCACAGAUUCAGACCAAAGCAGCAAGACCGAACACAGCCUCUGAGACCGCCGGAGGCCUGGUUGACGACAGGGAAUACAGUACCGAGAUUCUAAACAGGAAGGGGAGGAAUUCAAAAGCACACUCACAUGAAGCUGCUUUUUCCACACCCCGGGGGGCCAUACAGCAGAUAUCCUCUUCUGUAGGGGAUGCCUGCAUGGACAAAAACAAAACAUUAACACUCACACAGAUGACCAUCGGCGAAUAAAAUUCCACCACAUUUUGCUUUUCAGAAAAGGUAAUUUAACAAAAAAAAAUUAUUUAUUAGGAACAUUCUCGCUAUUUUGCAUGUUUUAGUUUUUAACUACAAAUCGUACAUAUGUUACAUCACUGCUAUUGGUUUCAACUUAUUCCAGUACAGUAUGAAAAUCAGCUUACAGAUGUUUAUUUUCUGUGUUUUUGUUAACUUUAAAAGGUAUGUUAUUGACCCCUGGUACUGCAGUUGUGAGCUGGAACUUCUUUGAAAAGUGAAAUGAUGCAUUCACGUGCAUGUGGGAAACUGCACUUGCACAAGACUCCAAAACAUUUGGACAACUGCCUAUCUCAAUCCUCACAUUUUAGUUUCACUGAAUGCCCCAACAAGAAAGACUUUUCAUAACAGAAACGGCCUGCGGGCACAACACCUCACCUCGCAUCAAUAACCGUCAUGAUAGGAAAACAUAAAUCAUAUAACCAGGUAAUAUGAAUUUAUAUGAAAAUAAAACACUCAAAGACAACUUCCAUAUACACUGAAUGAACGAGUUCGAGCCCUUGACUAA